UUACGGCCAUAUUACAUUGAAACACCAGUUCUCGUAGGAUCACUGAAGUUAAGCAAUAUCAGAAAUGGCCAGUACCUAGAUGAGUGACUGCUUGGGAACACCAGAUGUUGUA